ACAACAAAUAUAGUCGUCCAGGACGGAAGGAAUGCCCACCUCUGGACAACUGUAGUUGUAAGUUGUAAUAUCACCAUUCAAGACUAGAUGGAAAAUAUGGCUGAGUUGCAAAUACACUUGGUCAUACACUGCCCUAUACUCCAACAUGAGUAGACCCAUUUUUUUUAAUUCUUUCAAACCUAUUUCUUUGCUUCUUUUAUCGUUACAACAUCAAUUGGUGUCAAAGUAGGGCUGGGCAUGAUGACUGAAAAGUAUUUCGUAUUGGUCAGUAUCUAUUUAUGUUGAUUUUUUUUAGCUGUGGAAAAUAAGAACAAGGAGAAGAAAGGCUGAAUUUGCAACCACAAAAAAGUAAAAUAAUCUGGUUUAUUUUGUGAUGUUUUCUUUAAUCAAUGUAUAUCUUCUCAGUGAAAAACUCUUGAACCUGCUUUGAGAUGAUUGCAUGACUUGGUAACUUGCUUGCCUAAGCAACUUCAGAGAUGGACUCUGGAGCCUGCUUUGACGACUUCAUAGUCUGCUUUGCUUGAAUUGUCGAAACUUGAUUGUGAUCAAUGCCACUUGGUUACACAACAAACAGUGUGGCGUAGGGAGGGAUGACAAUGGCCACUCACCCCUCCCGAUGCACACACUUUAGAGGAUAAAAGGAGGGGAGCGAUGAUCCUCAGCAGAGUCUGCUGUGGGUUAGCGUACGAACGCCCAGCUCGUAUUGAAGCUCACUCUGCUGAGGGUGUUGGCUCUCCACCCUAAUGGCAUACACUUGGAGAAUUAAUGCCUUGGUGGGAGUUGCUGAUCGGGAGACCUGCUAAAACCGGACGAGACCAUGGACCUCAUUGGGUGCCGCGACACUGGAGGUGUCGUCUGCUGGGUCAUCUGCCUCCUUGCCGUUGGUGCCAUGGUCCAGCCCUCGGGGUUCGACCGAGGGCCAAACCUGCAGGAAGGGACCUAUCUUCAAGAUAGAACGAUACGAUGCCCUCUCGGCGAACUUGGUGAACAUCACUUGUAAUCAACCUAUAGUGGUGUGCGAACGCAACGUUCCUGUGGUGAUCAGAGGAAGCGUAGUGACGGUUACUGCCUUCUCGAAAACAUCAUGCAAACUAGACACUGAGGUGUUUGGUUUGGAAAACUGGGAAUGGUAUCAAUUGUAUGCACUAGGAAGAAGUUCCAAGUGUGACGUGGAUCAUCAAGGAACAGAAUGGACAAUCGUGGCAGAAGAGAACUUCCUCGUCGGAGAUGGUACAACGCCCUCGGGGGGUUUACCGUUCUUAUGGCCGGUGAAAGUGAUUCCUAGGGACCUACCACCGAUUUUGAAUUUGACCCACCUGCCCCCUAUUCUGGAUACUUGUACACACCUCGCUGCGGCAACGAUCGAAACAAAAAUAUACUGGACAAUCCACUUUCCACCAAUUCCGAAAUGUGGACGAAGAAAAAGAGCGUGGUAUGACACCUUGUUAGGAGGAACGGGGACUGUAUUGGGAUUUGCAAAUGCGGCUGAUAACAAAGUGACAAAAACAAAUGUACCGGGUAUUGGACUCAGUAUAAAGUGACAACUACAAAGACGGUGUGUAAUUAUCAGGUUUUGCCCGUCAUAACACAGGAUAGUUACUGGUUUCUCCACAUGGAAGGAGACUGGUUUGAACCAAAAACGAAUAUGACCUUUAAAUCAAGAUUGUGUGACAUGACUGAUCAAGGGCUGGCUUGCAGACUGCAACAUGCGUACUCGAACCCGUGUUUAACCGACUCAGAGGCC